UCUUCGUGGUCGGCCACGGCGGCGUCCCUCCCUCCGCCCUCCGCCCUCUGCCUUUGCCCCUCCUCUUCGUGCUAGCCCACACCCCACCCCAGCUGGUCGCCGCCCUUCGUCGUCGUCCUCGGUCACGGCGGCACCCCUCUGUCUUAUCCUUGCUCCGGUACAGGUACCGCCACCAGAUGGCCCGAUUCACCCCCGUCCACCCUCUCCCCCUGGCGGCGACCUCCACUGCGGACGCAGUUAGGGACUGCACAGGCUUCCCAACGAGCGCUGCCCCCCCCUGCUGCCCCCCUCUCUCUCUCUCCGACUGCCCCUUUUGACUUCGGAUGACAUUCAUAUGAUCCCGUCUUCCUUUGUUCAGCUAUUCUACAGAUGGACUGCACUAUGUAUCUUUUGUGUCUCAGGCAACAGGAACUAUGGUGAUGGUGUGGAGUGUGCACCAACAUUUUCAAAAUUGCAAGCCAGAUCUGCAACAACAAAGACUUGUUUUGCUGUGUUUCAUCGUAUUGCAAAAUACAGACAUUCCGAUAUUCUAUUAUAGCAAGUUCUUAAUGCAUUAUAUCAUCAUUACAAAUGAGUUCUGUGUUACACGAGCCAUGGUGAUAGAAUGCCCCAAAGAAAACGGGUUUAAUCUGCAGCACACUGUUUCAAUCUCUGCCCCAUUUUCAUUUUUCAGUCGCUAAGUAGAAGCCCAUAAUGCUAAAUUUAAUUCCUGAACAGAGUAUCUGAGUUUCUGCUUACGGAUUGUAUAUGUUACCUUUAUUCAAUAGACAAAGUUUGAGCGUAGUAGUGAAUGCGUGUUUGUCUUGAGUCUCUACCGAUUUGAGUUGUAAUACAUCAUGCUUGCAAUCUUGUUUUGUCUGUGGCUUUCUCCCACAUUAAUCAUUCUGAUGUGUUACCAGCUCUUCCCUUGGAUCUUCACGUGGACUUCGUGUGAACUCUUAAUUUUCUAAGACUAAGAAGAAAUUGAAUAGAAACUGCAACGGCAUAGCUAGUAGUAUCAGUUGCACUUCCAAUGGAAGUGAGCAUGCAGUUGGUGCUAAAGGUGAUGAUCUUUAAGCUGAUGUUGACUCUACCACAUGCCAUCAGUCUGAUCUGCCAUUGAACAUUGACAUUGGUAGCAAGAUGGUACUAAGUUGAAUUCCAUCUUAUUGCAAUAUUUGUGCUUUAUUGAACUGUUUUUUAUACUUGAGACUUUCAAUUUAUUCCUGUGCUUUGUUAGUUAAACACUUAUUUUUUAUCUUCUCAGUAGUUAACUUGUAUUGUUAGUACCAUACCUUGCUUUACUACAUGCCUACAUCAUUCUUGUGAUCAGUAAAAAACUCUUAUGCCACUAUUGACAUGCAGAAAAGUUUUAAUGGCUCAUCUCUAAUUAGCUAAACACGUGAAAUAUGGGAUAUGGCCUACUCAUUUCGUGUAAUUGGGUGAUGCUAUAAGCAAAACAAUGGCCAACUAUGAGUACUAACUGCAUCCUUUUUCCUACAGAAAACUAAUUAUUAUACUGGUGCGCAAAAAUAUUCUAGCAUCUUCAGUGAGAUUUAAAUGGGAAACAGAGGCUAGGGGAAUAUGAUUUGUUCAGUAAACAUGUGCACAGUUUCUUCUUGGAAAUGCAUUACACUUUAUGCAGCAAAUAAUCUAAAUAUUGAUGGUGAAUAAAAUGGAACAAAAUUUUGGAUAGAAACAAAUGACUGAAUGGUGGCAGAAAUUUCAGUACAUGGUAGAAGAUGUGCUAUACAGUUCAUACCUUGCGCAUAAAAGUAUUUGUGUAAUUGUGUUUAAUUUAUGAGCCAAUACCAGUCUUUUUAUGUUGAAACAUCAAACACCACAACACCAAACGUUUCUGGCCUCAUUUAUCUGUACAUGAAGAUAAACUGGAUCAUUCUUAUGGCACUAAGGCCACUUAACAUAUUUUCCAAUAUUAAUUCUUGAAAGUGAUACUAGGAAACCAUACUAUUAUUAUGCUGUGCUACUUGAACAUUGUGCCAAAGAAGUUAUGAUACUUCAUAUUUGCUAAAUCAGGUAUCCAAGCGGUCUUCUCGUGCUGGCAAAUAAGUUAGGGAAAACAUGCAGGGAACAAACUGUCAGGGAUGAAUUCCUGAAGGGAUGAAGAGAGGGUUGUGCUGGACAUCAGUAUACUUCCCUCGGGGUUUGUAGAUUUUAGCGACUUCUUAAGGGGGAUGAGUUAGAUUUUGGUGAGGGGAUUGUUCAAAAGAGAGGAUAGUAUAUUCUUGAGCUCCUGGAGGAUCGGACUAUUCAUAUCUGGAAGAUUUCUGUGCUUUCAGACUUGGGAAAUAUACUCCUGUUGAAACAAGCUAGAUCUUGACAUAUUCAGACUUGUGAAAUAUAACGUGAAUAGAGUGAGGGCAGCAAAGAUGCGCAAACCAUAAUUGAGAGAGUUGGCACUCGGAUUAAUGGCUGCAAAGAGGAAGGGCUAAUUGGCUCUCAAUGCAUUUCACCGCUCCACCAGAAUCCCAACAUCUCCUCAUGACGGUAUUCGGCAACGGCGUUGGCCUCGGCUCCAUCUCCACUGCCUGCCUGCCUGCCUCUUCCAAAGAUGUAGCCGUUCGCAGUGGCGGUGGCCUCCCCUCACUGAAUCGUGGCUGGAGCACUCUGCCCGCUGUGAUCUCUGUGGAUCGGGGCAGCAGCAUGCGCUCUGAAGACGUGCUGGUGAUGUCACCAACAGGCGCCGUCGCAUUCCAGAGCAGGGCGAGAAUAAGGUGCGAGGAGAUCUCGUUCCAGGCUGGGCGUCCUCGCCCAAAGUGUAUAUAUGCGCGUGUGCUGAAUUCUUUCACGUGCGAAUCAAGGAAAGAUUGAUGAGUAGUCAUCUUGUUUCGGUUGGAACUUGGAAAGUUGUCGUUUGUUUGUUGGUGCUCUCCAUUGUCAAUCAAUUACACAGUAGUAUUAUCUAUUAUGGAUGGUUCAGCCUCAGACUUGCAUUACAUUUUGCUGGGCUUUGUUUUGUU